AUUUUAAACCAAAAAGAUAUUGGAAUAACAGGGCGACGAAAGGACCUAAACGAAUUAUAAACGUUAGUUAUAAUCUUGAUUUUUUCCAUGAAAAUGAAGUAAUUACGAAAGAAUUAACAAAAUAAUAUCAUAAUAUAUACCAUAUUUUCAUGUUUUAAAUUGCAAAUAAAAUAUUAAAAUGGAUGAAGCAAAGUUUCUAAAACGAAAAGUAAGAUCUGGCACUUUAGAUGUGCAUCCAACAGAGAGAGCUUUAGUAGUAAAUUAUGAUGUUGAAGCAUUAAUCUUGGGUGAAUUAGGAGAUCCUAUGUUAGGAGAUCGUAAAGAAUGUCAAAAAAUAAUUCGACUAAAAAGUUUAAAUUCGGACACAAAUGUAUCACUUUUAGCUAAAGAAGUAAUUGAAAAAUGUUCUUUGAUACAUGAAUCGAAGCUUCAUGAAGUAGAACAAUUAAUUUACUAUCUUCAAAAUCGUAAAACAAAUGAUGCUACAAACAGUGAUAAUAAUUCUCAACUGUCAAGACCAACAUCAUCCAAUUCAGUAUCUACAGAUAAUGGUGAAACAGAAAGAGCAAUCAUUAGCAACGUUGACAAUUAUAUUGAAUUGUUAUAUGAAGAAAUACCAGGAAAAAUCAAAGGUUCCUCACUAAUUCUACAGUUAGCAAGAGUACCUGAUAAUCUUCAUGAAUUAACAAAAAAUGAAUCUUUGUUAAGUGCUUUAGCUAGAGUUCUAAGAGAAGAUUGGAGAAGGAGCAUAGAAUUAUCUACAAAUAUUGUAUACAUUUUCUUCUGUUUUUCAACAUAUAGUCAAUUUCAUAAUAUUGUUCUUGAAUACAGGAUUGGAUCAUUGUGUAUGGAUAUAAUUGACUUUGAAUUACGUCGAUAUGAUCAAUGGAAAGAGGAUAUGGAAAAACGUAGGCGACAUUUCGAAAAUACUACAGGAUUGACAUUUUUUUCAACUGGAAAUGAUAAUUGUGACAAGAAAACAAAAGUCAUUGAUGAUAUUUGGAAUACAGAUGGUCCUUUAGAUUAUGAAAUUAAAAAACGAUCUAAUGAAGUAACUGUUACUGUAACUGAAAAUGAUAUAAAGAAAUUAAAAGAAGAACUUGAGAAAAGUCGUAAAAAAUUCAAAAAUUUAAUAAAAAAGCAGGAACAACUAUUACGAGUUGCAUUUUAUUUGUUAUUAAAUAUUGCUGAAAAUAUGGAAGUUGAAAGAAAAAUGCGCAAAAAGAAUGUAAUUGGUAUGCUCAUCAAAACAUUAGAUAGGACAAAUAUAGAUCUGUUAAUACUUGUUAUUGCAUUUCUAAAAAAAUUAUCCAUAUUUCGCGAGAAUAAGGAUCUUAUGGCAGAGAAAAAUAUUAUCGAAAAGAUUCCAAGACUUCUUCAGAGCAAUAAUGCAGAUCUUGUUCUAAGUACUUUAAAAUUAUUAUUCAAUCUUUCCUUCGAUGCAAAACUCAGAGCAAAAAUGAUAAGAGUGGGUAUAUUACCAAAGUUAAUUAAACUACUUGGUCAAAGUGACAUUAAAAAUAAAACAACAAUUUUGGGUUUAUUAUAUCAUGCCAGUAUGGAUGAUAAAGUAAAAGCUAUGUUUACAAAUACUGAAUGUAUCCAAAUGAUCACAAAUAUGAUCCUAAAUUCUGAAGAUGAUCAACCAAAAUUAGAAUUAAUAGCACUUGGUAUAAAUCUAGCAAUUAACAGCAAAAACGCGCAACUUAUGGUAGAAAACAAUCGUUUACAAGGUCUCAUAAAAAAAGCAUUUCGGACUCAAGACCCUUUAAUAAUGAAAAUGAUUCGAAAUAUUUCUCAACACGAUUCAACAAAAGAGAACUUUGUUGAAUUUGUGGGUGAUUUUGCUAUAGCCUUAAAUCAAUCAGAUUCUCAAGAUUUUGUGCUUGAAGUUAUAGGUGUUUUAGGAAAUUUAGAACUACCUGAUUUGGAUUAUUCACAAAUACUUCAUCGAUGUGAUUUGAUACCAUGGAUACGCAAUAAUCUUGUUCCAGGUAAAGCUCCAGACGAUUUAGUACUUGAAAUUGUAAUAUUUUUGGGUACUGCUGCAUUUGACGAAGAUUGUGCACGUUUACUGUGCAAAGCCGAUAUAUUGCUUUCUCUUAUUGAGCUUCUUAAAGCAAAACAAGAGGAUGAUGAAAUGGUUUUACAAAUAAUUUAUGUUUUUUAUCAAAUAUCUAAACAUGAUUCGACAAGGGAUUAUUUAAUACGCGAGACUGGUAAUGAAGCACCUGGGUAUUUAAUAGAUCUUAUGCAUGAUAAAAAUCCAGCAAUUAGAAAAGUAUGUGAUGCGUGUUUAGAUGUUAUUGCGAUGUGUGAUAAAAAUUGGGCAGCUCGCAUAACAGUAGAAAAGUUCAGAUCACAUAAUCAACAAUGGUUGGAAAUGGUAGAAUCUAUAACAAAUGAUAGUAGCAAUCACUUAUUACCAGAAGAAGACGACAGUCUUUCUCCAUUUAUGAAUGGUGAUCUCUUAAAGCAUACAAUGCUCUUUCCAUCGGGUAAUGUAGCAUCAUUUAAUACAGAUGAUCGAUUUUCAAUUAUGAAAAAUUCAUCAGAGUCAUCUGAAAAUCAAAGUCGUCCAGUUAGUAGGUAUAAAGAUUUUGAUGAACUAGGUGAACUUAUGGCACGUUCUAAGUCUCGUAUGUCCGUUAGUUCUGGUAUGGACGAUCUUUAUUACAAUUCUAAAGUUAAAUUUCCAGAAUCAGAUGGUUCACAUGUACUAAUAUAGAAGGUCAAUAUUAUAUAAAAUUAUAUGUUAAUAAUGUAAUAGUUACUUUAUUUGAUUACGUGAUGCACUAUGCACGAUUGAAGCAACAAAAUUAACAUCUGUAGCAACCUUUAAAUAGUUUAUUAUAUACAUAUUUAUUCAUGGACAAAUCUUAAAAAGCUUUAAAAACUGUGUACGUGAUAAAUUAUUUUGAUCUCAUAAUGUAAUAUUUUAAUUUUAAAAAAUUUUAUUUUUUAUCAAUUAAUUUAUGAAUGAAAAUAUUUAGUUCAGACUGAUUUCUAGCUUUAUAUCUUUAUAAAAUAAUUGAUAUAAUUAAUGUGAUAAUUUUGUUCACUAUAUAUUUUAGCAUGUGCAAUAUUAUAAUGCUAUUAUGCUACAAAUGAAAAAAUAGUUUUAGUAAUAAUAUGGUACUACACACAUAUGCUUCUGUUGCAUAACAUUUAAUAGUAAAAAAUUGGUAGGCAGCAGCAAAAGAAACAAAAAAUUAUAAAACCCCGAGUUAAUAAUUUAUAAAAAUCUAUUUUAUAUCAAGACAGUUUAUAAAAUUGUAUUCUUUACUUAACUAUCAGAUACACAUUCCUUUAUUUUAAAUAUUGGAAAUUUAGAUAUUGAACUAUUAGUGUAAAACAAUGUUAUAUAUGUUAAAAAGUAGUUUUAUUCCCAAGCAUUUAUUAUUCUAUAUGUCAUAAUAAGUGGAAGUAUGGAUUACCAAUAUAUUUUAAUUCUUCUUCUUACAAAGAAAUACUUGUCAUCAAUUAAAAUAAAAUUCACAAUUAUUGAAAGA